rfam:Beta vulgaris subsp. vulgaris Bvchr8.sca018.con0254.1, whole genome shotgun sequence.
GGACGAUGACGAAGAUUUCAUGGUCUCGUUCGUCGUAAGAGCGAUUUAAUUCGCCUUGACGACCAUUCUGUUAUAUCACCACCCAUAAGCUGAGUCC